AUUGAACGCUGGCGGCAUGCCUUACACAUGCAAGUCGAACGGUAACGGGCCUUCGGGUGCCGACGAGUGGCGAACGGGUGAGUAAUGCAUCGGAACGUACCUUUCAGUGGGGGAUAACGUAGCGAAAGUUACGCUAAUACCGCAUAUUCUGUGAGCAGGAAAGCAGGGGAUCGCAAGACCUUGCGCUGAUUGAGCGGCCGAUGUCAGAUUAGCUAGUUGGUGAGGUAAAGGCUCACCAAGGCGACGAUCUGUAGCGGGUCUGAGAGGAUGAUCCGCCACACUGGAACUGAGACACGGUCCAGACUCCUACGGGAGGCAGCAGUGGGGAAUUUUGGACAAAUGGGGGCGAACCCUGAUCCAGCCAUGCCGCGUGAGUGAAG
rnacentral:rRNA from 1 species